GGGAGUGAAAUAGAACCUGAAACCCUGCACUUACAAGCUGUGGAAGCACAUUUCUUGUGUGACCGCGUACUUUUUGUAGAACGGGCCAACGAGUUACGUUAAGUAGCAAGGUUAAGCACUUAAGGUGCGGAGCCGUAGCGAAAGCGAGUUUUAACUGAGCGUUCAGUUACUUGACGUAGACCCGAAACCGGGCGACCUACCCAUGAGCAGGAUGAAGCGAAAGUAAAAUUUCGUGGAGGUCCGAACCCACGAGCGUUGAAAAGCUCGGGGAUGACUUGUGGGUAGCGGUGAAAUUCCAAUCGAGCCCGGAGAUAGCUGGUUCUCCCCGAAAUAGCUUUAGGGCUAGCCUCAAGGUGAGAGA
rnacentral:rRNA from 1 species